rnacentral:tRNA from 1 species
AGGCUUGUAGCUCAAUGGUCAGAGCAGGCUCCUUAUAGGGGGCAGACGACGGUUCGAAUCCGUCCAGGCCUAC